rnacentral:tRNA from 1 species
AAGACUUUAAGUUAAAUAAACUAAAAACCUUCAAAGUUUUCAAUAGACACAUCUAAGUCUUG